rnacentral:rRNA from 1 species
UACGGAGGAUGCAAGCGUUAUCCGGAAUGAUUGGGCGUAAAGCGUCCGCAGGUGGUUGCUCAAGUCUGCUGUCAAAGAGUCUGGCUCAACCAGAUAAAGGCAGUGGAAACUGAUCGACUAGAGUGUGGUAGGGGCAGAGGGAAUUCCUGGUGUAGCGGUGAAAUGCGUAGAGAUCAGGAAGAACACCGGUGGCGAAAGCGCUCUGCUGGACCGCAACUGACACUGAGGGACGAAAGCUAGGGGAGCGAAUGGG